rnacentral:rRNA from 1 species
UGGGGAAUAUUGGACAAUGGGCGCAAGCCUGAUCCAGCCAUGCCGCGUGAGUGAUGAAGGCCCUAGGGUUGUAAAGCUCUUCAACGGUGAAGAUAAUGACGGUAGCCGGAGAAGAAGCCCCGGCUAACUUCGUGCCAGCAGCCGCGGUAAUACGAAGGGGGCUAGCGUUGUUCGGAUUUACUGGGCGUAAAGCGCACGUAGGCGGAUUUUUAAGUCAGGGUGAAAUCCCGGGGUCUCAACCCCGGGAACUGCCUUUGAUACUGGAAGUCUUGAGUAUGGAAGAGGUGAGUGGAAUUCCGAGUGUAGAGGUGAAAUUCGUAGAUAUUCGGAGGAACACCAGUGGCGAAGGCGGCUCACUGGUCCAUUACUGACGCUGAGGUGCGAAAGCGUGGGGAGCAAACAGGAUUAGAUACCC